AUGAGUAUCUUCUAUUGAAACUGUCGCGGGGCGGACAAACCCGAGACGGUUCGAGAGCUUCGUGGCUUCGCGAGGCAGUUUGCUCCGACGGUGUUUUGCAUAGUAGAAACUCAGCUGUCAAAAGUUCGAGUAGAAAGCUUAGCAAGUACACUAGGCUAUGAUAAUUCUUACGCUGUUAGUAGCUCUGGUAUAAUGCAAUAA
rnacentral:rRNA from 1 species